GAUGAGCGCUGGCGGCGUGCCUAAUACAUGCAAGUCGAGCGAACGGACGAGAAGCUUGCUUCUCUGAUGUUAGCGGCGGACGGGUGAGUAACACGUGGAUAACCUACCUAUAAGACUGGGAUAACUUCGGGAAGCCGUAGCUAAUACCGGAUAAUAUUUUGAACCGCAUGGUUCAAAAGUGAAAGACGGUCUUGCUGUCACUUAUAGAUGGAUCCGCGCUGCACUAGCUAGUUGGUAAGGUAACGGCUUACCAAGGCAACGAUGCAUAGCCGACCUGAGAGGGUGAUCGGCCACACUGGAACUGGGACACGGUCCAGACUCCUACGGGAGGCAGCAGUAGGGAAUCUUCCGCAAUGGGCGAAAGCCUGACGGAGCAACGCCGCGUGAGUGAUGAAGGUCUUCGGAUCGUAAAACUCUGUUAUUAGGGAAGAACAUAUGUGUAAGUAACUGUGCACAUCUUGACGGUACCUAAUCAGAAAGCCACGGCUAACUACGUG
rnacentral:rRNA from 1 species